rnacentral:lncRNA from 1 species
CUAUCUUUUUGGCUUUAGCUCCAACCCCUUUUUAUUUAUUUUUCUGGUAUUUCACGCAUGCCACACGAAUUCAUCUAAACAAAUGGUGAACAAGUGCCAUAUCGUAUCAAUGUCUUACAUGGCUGAAGGGCAAACCACCCUUUUUUCCAAAGUCCGUUUUCCAUUUACCCACCAAUUCAGCAUGCUGCAGUACAUUUCUUUUCACAUUCCCACCUUGGUCUUAUCCCACACAUGGAGAUGGAAAUGCUUUCUCGUUUUCUGUUCCAAGAAUUACUAGUAACGAGAACACACCCUACCCCAUCAGCAAGCCCCAAUGUGAUCGGUUUCUUUCGGCCUCCUUUGUCUCUUUUCCCCCCCACCCCUCAGGGAUUGCGUGAAACAAACAACUGUUCAGUGAAACUAACCUGAAAUUACAGGUCUACUUUCUUUCCCGGCUGGCACUGAGAUGGGCAGGUGAUGGAGCAGCCCCGCUUGAAGCGAUGCAGCAUCCAGGAAGAUGGAGGAAGGGGCGGAGAGGGACCUCUGCUUUCCAGGCUGCCUUUUAUACUGCCUCUGGUCACCUGACCACUGCUGACAGACAUUCUAUAA